rnacentral:ncRNA from 1 species
GUGUUAUUUGAAUGGAGAGAAGAUUGAUAUUUCACUUGUCGUGGAGAAGGAGGUCCUGUGACUUUACUUAAGGCAUCACCACCUGUAUGUAGUCUCAUCAGGGUCUCUAUUUC